rnacentral:sRNA from 1 species
AGCGCCAAGUUCGGGGUUUGGGGUUGGAGCGGUCGGUCACGUGGCUGGCCCGCGGCGGUGCGCUGGGCGUUGGGUCAGCGGGUCUGGGACUCUGGUGGCACCGGCGGCGGCGUAGGACCGAGGCGUCGCUAGGCAGCUUCGAACCAGUGCAAUGACGAUGCCAGUCAACGGGGCCCACAAGGAUGCUGACCUGUGGUCCUCACAUGACAAGAUGCUGGCACAACCCCUCAAAGACAGUGAUGUUGAGGUUUACAACAUCAUUAAGAAGGAGAGUAACCGGCAGAGGGUUGGAUUGGAGCUGAUUGCCUCGGAGAAUUUCGCCAGCCGAGCAGUUUUGGAGGCCCUAGGCUCUUGCUUAAAUAACAAAUACUCUGAGGGGUACCCGGGCCAGAGAUACUAUGGCGGGACUGAGUUUAUUGAUGAACUGGAGACCCUCUGUCAGAAGCGAGCCCUGCAGGCCUAUAAGCUGGACCCACAGUGCUGGGGGGUCAACGUCCAGCCCUACUCAGGCUCCCCUGCAAACUUCGCUGUGUACACUGCCCUGGUGGAACCCCAUGGGCGCAUCAUGGGCCUGGACCUGCCGGAUGGGGGCCACCUGACCCAUGGGUUCAUGACAGACAAGAAGAAAAUCUCUGCCACAUCCAUCUUCUUUGAAUCUAUGCCCUAUAAGGUGAACCCAGACACUGGCUACAUCAACUAUGACCAGCUGGAGGAGAAUGCACGCCUCUUCCACCCGAAGCUGAUCAUCGCAGGUGAUGCGCGGGGUGGAAAGUGACCUUGUUCACCAGUAGCCUGGUGCCCCCUACAGAAUGAGGAUGGAAAGAUGUUCCCACCCUGUUGAGCCCACUGCUAGUUUCUGCCCUGGAUAACUGAGUUUCUGGGGUCCACAUAUAUUAGUUUCUUUCAGGAUACAGAUGUGUGUUUGCUGCUUUUUGUGCUAUGUAGAUUAAGAUCUGAGACUGUUCUCAGAGAAGCAUCUAGAAAUGUCAGGCCCUGACUGGGCUGGCAAUAGUAGUUGGGGCCAUCUCAACCAACAAGAAGUUGAAGAGUUAGAGUGGUUGCCUUUAGCACAGAGGUGC